rnacentral:rRNA from 1 species
CGGGACGGGUGAGUAAUGUCUGGGAAACGGCCCGAUGGAGGGGGAUAACUACUGGAAACGGUAGCUAAUACCGCAUAACGUCGCAAGACCAAAGAGGGGGACCUUAGGGCCUCUUGCCAUCGGAUGUGCCCAGAUGGGAUUAGCUAGUAGGUGGGGUAAUGGCUCACCUAGGCGACGAUCCCUAGCUGGUCUGAGAGGAUGACCAGCCACACUGGAACUGAGACACGGUCCAG